rnacentral:rRNA from 1 species
AACGAACGCUGGCGGCAGGCUUAACACAUGCCAGUCGAACGCACCUUUCGGGGUGAGUGGCAGACGGGUGAGUAACGCGUGGGAAUCUACCCUUCUCUACGGGAUAGCUCCGGGAAACUGGAAUUAAUACCGUAUACGUCCUGAGGGAGAAAGAUUUAUCGGGGAAGGAUGAGCCCGCGUUGGAUUAGCUAGUUGGUGGGGUAAAGGCCUACCAAGGCGACGAUCCAUAGCUGGUCUAAGAGGAUGAUCAGCCACAUUGGGACUGAGACACGGCCCAAACUCCUACGGGAGGCAGCAGUGGGGAAUAUUGGACAAUGGGCGCAAGCCUGAUCCAGCCAUGCCGCGUGAGUGAUGAAGGCCCUAGGGUUGUAAAGCUCUUUCAGGGGGGACGAUAAUGACGGUACCCACAGAAGAAGCCCCGGCUAACUUCGUG